rnacentral:rRNA from 1 species
AUUGAACGCUGGCGGCAGGCCUAACACAUGCAAGUCGAGCGGAUGAAGGGAGCUUGCUCCUGGAUUCAGCGGCGGACGGGUGAGUAAUGCCUAGGAAUCUGCCUGGUAGUGGGGGAUAACGUCCGGAAACGGGCGCUAAUACCGCAUACGUCCUGAGGGAGAAAGUGGGGGAUCUUCGGACCUCACGCUAUCAGAUGAGCCUAGGUCGGAUUAGCUAGUUGGUGGGGUAAAGGCCUACCAAGGCGACGAUCCGUAACUGGUCUGAGAGGAUGAUCAGUCACAAUGGAACUGAGACACGGUCCAGACUCCUGCGGGAGGCAGCAGUGGGGAAUAUUGGACAAUGGGCGAAAGCCUGGUCCAGCCAUGCCGCGUGUGUGAAGAAGGUCUUCGGAUUGUAAAGCACUUUAGGUUGGGAGGAAGGGCAGUAAGUUAAGACCUUGCUGUUUUGACGGUACCAACAGAAUAAGCACCGGCUAACUUCGUG